GGAAGCUUAAAGGAUCAUAGAUAUAUAGAUGGAAGAAGACUAUUACGUAGUCCAACCUCCUCAUUUUGAAGAUGAAAAGUCUUUAUUAAGGAUCAGUAAGCAGACAUUUAUGAGCAAUUUCAUUGAUAUUGAAGAAUGGUAAUGCUUAAGGUGGAGAAGCUACGUGAUCUAGAGUCAGGAAGGCCCAUCUUUCUAAGUUCAAAUCUGGCCUCAGAUGCUUACUAGCUGUGUGAUUCUGGAUUACAUCAUGUGAAAUGCCAAACUGGAUGAAUCAAAAGCCAGAGUUAAGAUUGCCAGAAGAAAUAUCAACAAUCUCAGUUAUGCAGACAAUACCACUCUGAAGGCAAAAAAUGAAGAAGAGUUAAGAAGCCUCUUGAUUAUGGUGAAAGAAAGAAGUAUAAGCCUUCUCCCCUAAAAGAAAAGAAGAGAAAAGAAAAGAAAAACCCAAGAACUUAAGAUCAUGGCAAAAAUGGCAAAAAAAAAGAUCAUGGAAAAAUAGAGGGAAAAGAAAUGGAACAGUAUCAGAAUUCAUAUUCUUGGGCUGUAGAUGGUGACUGCAGACAUUAAAUUAAAAGACACUUGUUCCUUAGAAGGAAAGCUAUGAAAAAUCUGGAUAGCUAAUUAAAAAGCAGACAUCUCCUUGCUGACAAAGGUCCAUAUAGUCAAAAUUGUGGUUUUAUCAGCAGUGAUAUGCAGCUGUGAAAACUGGACUAUAAAGAAAGCUGAUUUUUUGAAUUGUGGAGCUGGAGAAGACUUUUAAGAGUUCCUUGGAAAGCAAGGAAAUCAAAUAAGUUAAUAGUUGAAAGAAAUUAAUUAGACUAUCCAUUGGAAGGACAAAUAUUGAAGCUGAUGUUUAAAUCCUUUGGUCAUAUAUUGAGAUGAAAGGACCCACUUGAAAAGACUUUUAAGUUGGAAAAAACUGAAGGCAAAGGAAAAAGAUCAUGGUAGAAGAUGAGAUAGAGAGAUAGUGUUAUAGAAGCAAUGUAUAUGAGUUUGGAAGAUAAUAAAAGAUAGAUGGACCAGUUGUGCUCUGGUCCAUGGAGACAAGAAGAGUCUGACAUGAUCAAAUGCCUAAACAGCAAACAACAAUGAUAACAUUUCCGAGGACAUUGUUCUCUAACUCUAUUGUAUAAAAGAAAGAAUUUGCUAAAGAUCAUACCAAAGAAUGAUUUGAUGAGCUAGACUCAAACCCAGUUCUUCUAGAUUCCCAAUUUAGUGCUUUUUUCACUGCAGAAUACUCAAAAUAGCAAAUUGGUCCUGCCUCUUACCCCUUGUCAUGACAGAGACUCUGUCACCAAGUUAAGCUGAAAUGGCUGAAAAAAGAAGACAAUGUCUUACUUGAGAGCUAUUUAUAGACUUAAAAGGAAAGAAAAAGCAGCUUGCUAAAAAGAACCACUGGCCUCUUAAUUCUUAUGUUUCCUAGACUUGGUAUAAAUAAAUCAAUUUCAAAUUUAAUUUCUGAUGCUUUCCUCUUUCAAGAUUCCAAUCUCCCAAAUUCUUUUAUGUAUUCUCUAGACGGUUCUGACAUGCUCAGGACACAAGUGGCAUAGUGGAUAGAGUUUUGAACUUGAGGAUCAGGAAAAGCUAAAUUCAAAUUUAAUCUUAGACAUUUACAAGCCAUUAAACCUAGGCAAAUCAACCUGUCAAAUUCAUUUUUUUAAAUCAAUAGA